rnacentral:lncRNA from 1 species
UUUGCACGGCGUCGCGCAAGUACAAGAUACAUAACAAAAUACAACCACCAUACAGAAUAUAUAAGCAUUCGACCAUUCAUACAUUCAUACACUAUUCACCACAGGUUCAUAUACAGAGUUUAAACAUAAAACCACAACUAUUAGUUUAAAACGUUUCCUACCCAGAAACUUGUUUUGAAAAACUAAAUCAUAAAACCACGUGAAAACCUUUAUUCUUUUAAAAACUCGCUACCACGAGGGGUAGAAAACCAUUUCCAAUAUUUUACAUAAAAACCACGUGUUUUAAUUAACUUCACCAAAACCAUGUAUAUAUAUCCAACUGAAGUAAAAUCAACUGAACCAUAAACCAUCUAAGAUAAAU